ACUGUUGUCGGGUGUUAUUGUUAGACCUUCUUCGUGCCUGAGAUUUGUGCUUUCUUAAGAGGACCCUUUCAGAGAAAACAAGAGGUCAUUUUAGGUGGAAAUGACCCAUGGCUGAUUAUUGGCUCUGUUAAAUGACCAAUUUGAAAGGAGGUGUAAUGUUCCCAUCCACUCUAAAUGAGAAGAUUGCUCAUGACUUAUGGUCCAUAUUCUCUACACCCAACACCGCCAUUUCCUCUCCUCUGAUUCAUUCUUUAAUGAAUGGAUGGCUUCCCCCGUUUUUUUUCUUCAUGGCAACUGCUCUCUGGGCAAAGCUUAUUUGCAGUUUGAGCCAAAGAAGUAACUUUUUAAAAACUCUAUCCACUUCAACUAGAAACAGACAGAACUCUCUCAAUCCAAUCUAACAGAAGCUUAGAAGAAAACAAGGUUCGAUGAAUGAGGGAUGCACAAAAGGAUGCCUGAGCAAGUCUGUAGUGGAGACAGUUGCCCGAAACUCUUCAAAACUGGGGAAAGGUCCAGAGGCCUAUCAGUCUACCAUAGAGGAGAUUUCUUGGUCCCUGUCUUCUCCUCUCCUAAGAAGCAGGUGUGGGGUAGCCUGAUACUCUGGCAUGAUAGUGAGAGCUCUGGUGCACCCCAGAUUACUCCUGAUGAAGAGGAGCCCCAAGAAUCUGGGCUCCAGGCACCAAGUUGACCACGUGACUGGAUUCCUGUGGGCACUGAGCGCUAGGAGAAUUCUAAUUGUGCGGAUCCCCAGAACAGCUGCAGCAUCCUGAGCCAGGAGCUCCAGACUCGUACUUCUGACCGGAUGCCGGAGCUCAGCACAGCUCUUCACACUCAGCCCUGCAGGCCUGCGGCAGAGAUGAACACACAAGGCCUCCUGCAGAGAGCACCCCCCCUUCUCCCACAGACCCACCUUUAGCUCUCUCUGGGGGUCCCUACCACUUUCUUCCCAGACCCCCAGGGUCUGGUCUUUUCUUUCCAGAUGCCACCACCUCGCCACCCUCUGGAGUUCCCUUCAAUCCUGGAUUCAGAUGAGGACAGAGAAUUCCCCCGCUUCCCCCCCGACCUCCUCCCACCCCACUCUUGAUGCCCCUGACUGGCCCUCAAGCCAUUUUA